rnacentral:rRNA from 1 species
UACAGAGGUCUAAAGCGUUGUUCGGAUUCAUUGGGCGUAAAGGGUGCGUAGGCGGCGCGGUAAGUCGGGUGUGAAAUCUUGGAGCUUAACUCCGAAACUGCAUUCGAUACUGCCGUGCUUGAGGACUGGAGAGGAGACUGGAAUUUACGGUGUAGCGGUGAAAUGCGUAGAUAUCGUAAGGAAGACCAGUGGCGAAGGCGGGUCUCUGGACAGUUCCUGACGCUGAAGCACGAAGGCCAGGGGAGCAAACGGG